GGACCGGGAAAGCUCGAAAACGGACAUGUGGCACAUGGUUGUCGAUUAGAUCCGACGGUCAGCAAUUGAGAACGGACCUAAAAAUGGACGCUGGUAGGAGGCCGUUCCCAAUUUCUCGUCGCAGUUUCGAGUCCUCGGCUCUUUCGCUGUGGUUUUCUUCGAGAAGGCAAACGCGAAGCGAUUCCAAGUCUUGCUUAUUGUGUACAUUUGAAGUUGUUCUAUGCCCUAGCAUGUCCAGAUUGCUUAUUCAAUAGAUGCAGAUUUUUGUCAAGACCCUCACCAGCAAAACCAUAACCCUCGAAGUUGAAAGUUCCGACACAAUUGAUAAUGUCAAGGCUAAUAUCCAAGACAAGGAGGGCAUCCCUCCUGACCAGCUGCAUCUCAUCUUUGCUGGGAAGUAGCUGGAAGAUGGUCGCACCCUUGCUGACUAUAUAACAUCGAGUCCACUGGAAAGACAAUCACUCUUGAGGUUGAGAGCUUGGACACGAUCGACAAUGUGAAAGCCAAGAUUCAGGACAAGGAGGGGAUCCCACCUGAUCAGCAACAUCUCAUAUUUUCUGGGAAGCAGCUCGAGGAUAGGCAUACACUAGCAGAUUACAACAUUCAAAAGGAAUCGACCCUUUACCUUGUCUUGCAUCUCCGUGGUGGUGAUCUAUGAAUCACUAUCUGAUAGUCGUAGUGGUACUAGUCUGUUUUUGUGGACAACCCUGCUUUGAUAGAUGGGAACCUCAUAGAGUCCUUGGUCAUGAAUAUGGAUAUUCUUCAGUAUGACGAUUUGCAUUAUGCUUUGAAACUGUUCAAAGAAGACUUCAAUAAAGAGGAUUGAUUUUGUGAACUGAUGCAGCAGUUGAAUGAAGUAGUAUGCAAGUCAUUCUAUUAUAA